UACGUAGGGGGCAAGCGUUGUCCGGAAUCAUUGGGCGUAAAGAGCGCGUAGGCGGCCCUGUAAGUCCGCUGUGAAAGUCAAGGGCUCAACCCUUGAAUGCCGGUGGAUACUGCAGGGCUAGAGUCCGGAAGAGGCGAGUGGAAUUCCUGGUGUAGCGGUGAAAUGCGCAGAUAUCAGGAGGAACACCGAUGGCGAAGGCAGCUCGCUGGGACGGUACUGACGCUGAGACGCGAAAGCGUGGGGAGCGAACAGG
rnacentral:rRNA from 1 species